UACGUAGGUGGCGAGCGUUGUCCGGAUUUACUGGGCGUAAAGAGCGCGCAGGCGGUCGUUCAAGUCGCGUGUGAAAGCCCCCGGCUCAACUGGGGAGGGUCACGCGAUACUGAUCGACUCGAAGGCAGGAGAGGGAAGUGGAAUUCCCGGUGUAGUGGUGAAAUGCGUAGAUAUCGGGAGGAACACCAGUGGCGAAGGCGGCAUCCUGGACCGGUAUUGACGCUGAGGCGCGAAAGCCAGGGGAGCAAACGGG
rnacentral:rRNA from 1 species